CCUACGGGAGGCAGCAGUGGGGAAUAUUGGGCAAUGGAGGCAACUCUGACCCAGCAACGCCGCGUGAAUGAUGAAGGUCUUCGGAUUGUAAAGUUCUGUGAUGGGGGAUGAACACAAUGACGGUACCCCAAUAGCAAGCCACGGCUAACUACGUGCCAGCAGCCGCGGUAAUACGUAGGUGGCAAGCGUUAUCCGGAAUGACUGGGCGUAAAGGGUGCGUAGGUGGUUUAGUAAGUUGGCGGUGUAAUUCCGGGGCUCAACCUCGGCGCUACCGCCAAAACUAGUAGACUAGAGUGCAGGGGGGGUAAGUGGAAUUCCUAGUGUAGCGGUGGAAUGAGUAGAUAGUAGGAGGAACAUCAGGGGCGAAGGCGACUUACUGGACUGUAACUGACACUGAGGCACGAAAGCGUGGGGAGCAAACAGGAUUAGAUACCCGGGUAGUC
rnacentral:rRNA from 1 species